CAGACUGUCAAUGUCCGAAUAACCUGAACUGUCGCUCUGACUGGUGUUGACGGCUGGCAAUGUCGUGACUGGGUACCAACGUGACGUAGUACACUGUUAGUGGCGCUCGUUGAUCGCAGGUACAAAUCACGUACUUUGCUAGGAUAAUUGACUUGGUUUUUAAGUGACUGACAAAGACCAGUCCGUGCGAGUUCGUAGUCCAGAGCAUGCAAGAUAAGAAGUUGAAACUCUGUUCCAACUUCGUGACGGGUGCUGACAGGCCAAAUGAAAGGCAGUCACGCCGCAGGGACACUCGACUGGUGCAUGAUGAACGGAGUGAAACACGAUUUCAUCGGGGGAUCGUGGAGCACAGGUGUGAAGCUGAUUACGUGUCAGUGCAUUUGCUGUUUUUAGCUUCUUUACAAGCGACUUUGAUCUUUCCUUUUGUAGAUGAUAGUCUCCUUCUUUCCUUCCAUCACUUUUGCCCCCUGACUCUUUUGUUUUGCUAGUUUGCGAACUGUGCUGCCUGUAUUUGUUUCUCGUGAAGCUCGUUUUGUUCCAACACAUUGAUAAACAUUUCUCCACAAACUUCCACUGCAAUAGAUAAAGCGAAAUUGUCAUGCACACCAAAUAUUUUAUUCUCAGAAGAUGCGCUUUAAGAGAGAUGGAAUACUGCAAAAGUUCGUCUGAUCCCGCAAGUACAAGUAACACAGUUUACACGAUGGAAAACUUGCUCUCACCAGUUCUAGAUUUUUAAGACCGCAAGAAAGUUAGCUUAUCUCAUAACAAUUUACAUUUUCUUUUUUUUUUUAUUUUACCAGUGAGCGACCGAUCCUAAUAGAUGUUUCAGGUUGAUGUAAGAAGACAAUACGACAAAAAUAUUCUCACAUGCAGUGAAUAUACUGAACAAAAUUAGAAAAAUUGGCACGUCACGUUUUGUGAAAAAGAUAAAAAAAAAGUUCUUUUAAAGCAUGUUUUAAGCCUUUCGUAACAAGUAAUUUUGGGAGGAAAAUGUUUCUUAUUCCAUAAAACUGAGCUAGUAAUAUGAGUAAACAGAUUUAUUCAUAAAUAACUGUUAUACCAUUAUUUGCAUACCAGAAUAGCGUAUGCAAUAGGUAGUUGCAGAAAGCUUUAAUCAUAAACAAAGUUGACAACAGAUUGUAGUCGUUUGAUAGGUAUAGACAACCAACUAAAAUAUGAUUCUAAAAAAAGAAUUACGAUCAAAUAAAAAAAUCAACAACACAUAAAUGGCUGAAAACAGAACCGGGCAACCAGAAACAGAAAUAUGUACAAUCGUGAAAUUUUAUCUGUGUACAAAAAAUAACAACAGCAACAACAAAAAAAUGAGAUACAACUUCAAAAAUAUAUUUAAAAAUGAUAAUACAGGUGUCUUGUGACUCAUGUACAUCAGUUAAGCUUAAACUAAAUGUGGCAUUUCGGAGCAGCAAGAAAACAUACCACAGUAGAUUUUGAAGAUCUAGCAUGGAUUCCAGAUAGUUAAGUAUGUAUGAAAACCAAAAGAACAGAAAGUAUCAGCUCCUUUCAUUUGACCUCACAAAAAGACGAGAACUAAAUCUGGCUAA